rfam:Loxodonta africana unplaced genomic scaffold scaffold_37, whole genome shotgun sequence.
AGCAGUUAAGAGUUUGUCUGGUAACCAAAAGGUCAGUGGUUCAAAUCCACUAGCUGCUU